UUUUAAAAGAACCUAUUCAAAAUAGAGCAUGGUAUAUUAGGACAUAUUCAGCCUGAUCAAACAAAUGUUGGUUCUUAUUAGCAGUUGUUUCUUCGUCGUCAUAAUAAGUACGAAAUUUAAUGACACUAUUAAACAUGAUAGCCUACCUGGAAAUGAUGUACUGUGCGAUCUCUUUUUGACAUUUUCAAACUAAGAAUACUUUUGUGAGUGGCACGAGUCGCUAUGUCAAAACCUUUCCACUCCCGAUUCACACUUUUUUGGCGGAACUCUUCGGGUGUAAUAUAAUAUGUAAAUAAUGCGAGUGUAGCCAAUACAACUUGUUGCUUCGCACUCUUAAUAAUUCAAAAUGCGAUUGGAGGUUACUGUUUCAUUAUAGUUUUUGUCAUUAAAUUUUCUCGGAUCAAAAGGUUGUUUACAGGUAAACUCGACGGGGGGCGGGGCAUGGAGCCACUGAACACCGAGUCUCGAAGAAUUGGGGUUAAAAAAGACUGAUUUGCAUACAGCUGGUUUAUAAAUACUAGAAACAGAGCCAUAAACAUUUAUGGGUAAACAUUUAAUCGUCUGAAUCUUAGACAAACAAAGGUUUCAAGGUAAAACAAGAUGGCGGCGGUCGCGAUCAGCUCACCUGCUGACGAAGGUCCUUGAGGUUGGAGUCCAAGGUCUUGAUGGUGGCUUCACAUCGAUUCACCUGGAAAUAGAACAGGAAUCUAUAGAUGGACACUUAUAGAAAGAAGACUAAAAGCGCAGAGUAACUCCGAUAAUAAGGGCACUUUCGGAAUAUUGCUUAUUCUAAAGAGCAUAAAAGUACAAUGAAAACCCUGUUAAUCAGGACACUUUUAUAAUCUCACUUAUUUUCUAGAAGCUAGAGAGGUAGGACCCCGUUAACAAGGACAUCUUCUAGAUCUAAAUUAUUUACAGGAGACAAGAAGCACAACAGAACCCGUUAAUAAGAACACUAACUAACUAAGCUAUCUUUUUUCUGUUAUUUAAAAUAAAAAAUGGUGAUGUGAGCAUUAGUUUAGCUAGCCUUCUUUCUCCAGCCACGUCCCGAUACAAUACUCGAAAUUACCAUCCUAACAAUUACCGCCUUUUUUCCACUCACAACCAAAAUUAUUACAGGAAUUCGUAUUUCCCCAGAACUGUCAAGCUUUGGAAUAGUCUUCCUUCACUUAUGAAAUCUUGCACUACGCUUUCGUCUUUCAGAAAUCAGCUGACAACUCACUAUUUAGAGAAACUUGCUUUUUACCAACCUCCAUAAUUUCAUAGAGCUUAAAUUUAUGUAAUUCAAUUUUUAUUUUCGUUUUAGAAUUUUUAUUGUGUGUAAUUUGUUGGGAAAGAAUUUCAAUUGGGGCUUACGCCCUGUUUUUCUUCUCCCGUCACAUUGUUUCUUAUUUUCUUUAUUUUGUUUAUUUCCUAUUGUAAACCGUAGUAUUUUUGUGUGACAAAGCCAAUAAACUAAACUAAACUA